rnacentral:sRNA from 1 species
GCGGGGCUGUCACCUCCGCCUCUGCGCCCCGACCCGGCCAUGCGCGGCCUCGGGCUCUGGCUGCUGGGCGCGAUGAUGCUGCCUGCGAUUGCCCCCAGCCGGCCCUGGGCCCUCGUGGAGCAGUAUGAGGUCGUGCUGCCGCGGCGUCUGCCAGGCCCCCGAGUCCGCCGAGCUCUGCCCUCCCACUUGGGCCUGCACCCAGAGAGGGUGAGCUACGUCCUUGGGGCCACAGGGCACAACUUCACCCUCCACCUGCGGAAGAACAGGGACCUGCUGGGCUCCGGCUACACGGAGACCUAUACGGCUGCCAAUGGCUCCGAGGUGACGGAGCAGCCUCGUGGGCAGGACCACUGCUUCUACCAGGGCCACGUAGAGGGAUACCCGGACUCAGCCGCCAGCCUCAGCACCUGUGCCGGCCUCAGGUGGGUGUGGCAGACGAACGCCAGGGCUCCCGCAGGUGGAGAGGAAGGCCUAAGCCUGUGGUGGGGGUGGGGAAGGGAGGCAGGGAGGGUGCCUCCUCCUCCCACUCAGGCCUUUGCUGUCUUGCAUGGGGGUCUGCUCAGGGGACGCCAAGCCCAAGAGGCUCACCCUCCUGUACCCUGGAGCCUGAAGUCACCUGCGGGGGGCUGCUGGUGGCAGGGUAGGGGGAGCUGUAGGCAACAAACUGGAGCCUCUGGUCCUUCGGGGCAGGACCAGGCCACUCUGAAGCCCACAGCACACCCGGCUCCCACUCCCCUCAGGGGUUUCUUCCAGGUGGGGUCAGACCUACACCUGAUCGAGCCCCUGGAUGAAGGUGGCGAGGGCGGACGGCACGCCGUGUACCAGGCUGAGCACCUGCUGCAGACGGCCGGGACAUGCGGGGUCAGCGACGACAGCCUGGGCAGCCUCCUGGGACCCCGGACGGCAGCCGUCUUCAGGCCUUGGCCCGGGGACUCUCUGCCAUCCCGAGAGACCCGCUACGUGGAGCUGUAUGUGGUCGUGGACAAUGCAGAGUUCCAGAUGCUGGGGAGCGAAGCAGCCGUGCGUCAUCGGGUGCUGGAGGUGGUGAAUCACGUGGACAAGGUGGGCAGCAGUCCUGGCUGCAGAGGUGCCGGAGCCCCUGGCGGGAGGUGGGGGGGGUGU